GCUUAUUUCCCACUUAUUGGUGGAAAUAAGCGAUAAACCCACCCAAACGCCUUGCUUAUUCCCCGCUUAUCAGGUAAGCCGCUUAGUGGAAAAUCUGAAAUACAACUAGCACCCAGCUUAUCUCAUACGCGGGUCAGACCACGCUUCUGGGGCAAGCGGAGCAAUUUUCCCCCGGAUACCCUCGGGCAACGGUCUCCAGGCGACGGCCGCCGCUCCUCCCGCAACCGC
rnacentral:lncRNA from 1 species